rnacentral:misc_RNA from 1 species
CCAUGGAGGGUGUUCGUGCGACUGCCCUGUUAGUUUAAAAUUAUUAAAGGUUGGAACUUU